rnacentral:rRNA from 1 species
AACGUAGGUUCCGAGCGUUAUCCGGAUUUACUGGGCGUAAAGCGCGUUCAGGCGGUUUGACAAGUCGGGCAUGAAAUCUCUCGGCUCAACCGGGAGAGGUUGUCCGAUACUUUCAGACUUGAGGGCAGUAGAGGGUGGUGGAAUUCCGGGUGUAGCGGUGAAAUGCGUAGAUAUCUGGAGGAACACCGGUGGCGAAGGCGGGUCUCUGGGCAGAAACUGACGCUGAGGAGCGAAAGCGUGGGGAGCGAACAGG